rnacentral:lncRNA from 1 species
GAGAUCCUGCAUACCUUUUACUCAAGUUCGACCAGUGGUAACAUUUUGCAAAACUAUAAAUUCAGUAUCAUAGCCACGAUAUUGAUAUUUAUAAGCAAGAUACAUAACAUUUCUGUCACCACAGGGAUCGCUCAUGUGGCCCUUUUGCAGCCACACCUACUUCUCUCUCACCUGCAGCUCCUCCUUAACCCCUGGAAACACUAAUCUGUUCUCCAUUUCUCUAACUUUAUCAUUUCAAGAAUGUUAUAUAAAUGGUAUACAGAGAUACCAUUAGGUAAAUAUAUACUCAUCAUAAUUCUCUGAAGAUUCAUUCAGGUUGUUGUGUAAAUCAUUUGUCUGUUGCUUUUUAGUGCUGAGUAUGAUUCCAUUUAACUGUUAACUCACUGCAGGACACCAGGUUGUUCCAGUUUGGGGCUACUGUGAAUAAAGCUGUUAUACACAUUAACAUGUGAGUUUUUGUGUGAACACAGAUUUUCAUUUAUCUCAUAUUAAUGUCCAGGAGAAAAAAAUGUGGGUCAUACUGUAGUUGCAUGUUUAAUUUUUAAAGAAAUUAUGACUUUUCAGGGCAGUUGUGCCAUUUUACAUUCCCAGAAGCAAUGCAUCAGUAACUCAGUUUCUCUGUGUCCUUGCUCGCAUUUUAACUUUAUCAUUUCAAGAAUGUUAUAUAAAUGGUAUACAGAGAUACCAUUAGGUAAAUAUAUACUCAUCAUAAUUCUCUGAAGAUUCAUUCAGGUUGUUGUGUAAAUCAUUUG